UUUUUACUCCUCCUUCUUGCUGAACACAUUUAUUUCAUCAACAGCUAUCGAUUUUAUUUCAUUAAUUCAUUUCAGGUCUCAUAUCACCAUCCUUGUUAGAACCCGUGUCAUCAUUUCUUUCGGCCCCAGAGAUGACAUGACUUUCCAAGGAGUACACAAUGAAGAUCCAGUGCUGGUCUAGCACAUCUUAAUUUCAGCUCACCACAAUCCGAGUGCUCAACAGCCACACGUGACCAGAGGCUGCAGUGUUGGACAGCAGAGCUCUCGGGCAAUGGUUUCCAGUGCAAGUCUGCCAGUCUACGAUGAAAAGGUGCUGUUCUAGUGCUGUGAAUGGAGCCGUAAACCAGAUCAAAAAAGUCCCUGCUCUCAUAGAGACAGACAAAGACAAAUAAUAAAAAAUAAUUAGUUUCCUCAUGAUGUAACUAUCCUCCUAAUCACAGAACAAGAAGGUGCCAGGACUACAUUAAUGAAACAGAAGCCGUUUUCUAGUCCCCUGUCAUUGGCUGCAUGGGAGCUUGGAGAAUUAGAAAUAAUUCACCUUUAUUUAC